AGAAAGAGCUGCAUGCAUCUCCAGUAAAGACUUUGGCUGCUGACCCAGCAGAAGCUUCACCUAGUGGCAUUCCUUCAGCUCUUCUGUCCUGUCCUAAUCCCCAGGCAUGAUGUGUCCAGACUCUUCUCUUAUUAAUGCCCUGAUACUGAUUUGGAUCAAGGAGACUGACUACCUGCCCCCCACCUACCGCCCAACCAAAUUCACAAGAAAUGGCUGACCUGCAUUAAAAUUUCUGUCAGAUACUGCUCUUUCUAAAACAAAAAGAAUAAAACAACAAAAGCAAUUUUUGAUCGAAAUAAUGAAGAUGAAGUGUUACUUGGUAAACAGAAAAGCAGUAUUCAAUGUUAAUAUAUGUUGAUUUUAUAGUAUAGCUCUCUGAAUUUAGGGAUAAUUUCUUUGUUGAAUGUAUUUGAUACACAUAAACACACAAAUAUGUAUGCAUUAAUAUUCCA
rnacentral:lncRNA from 1 species